CCUACGGGAGGCAGCAGUGAGGAAUAUUGGUCAAUGGGCUUACGCCUGAACCAGCCAAGUCGCGUGAGGGAAGACUGCCCUAUGGGUUGUAAACCCCUUUUGUCAGGGAGCAAUUGGCGCUACGUGUAGCGUUAUCGAGAGUACCUGAAGAAAAAGCAUCGGCUAACUCCGUGCCAGCAGCCGCGGUAAUACGGAGGAUGCGAGCGUUAUUCGGAUUUAUGGGGUUAAAAGGGUGCGUAGGCGGAAUGCCAAGUCAGCGGUAAAAGCGCGGGGCUCAACCUCGCUCCGCCGUUGAAACUGGCGUUCUUGAGUGGGCGAGAAGUAUGCGGAAUGCGUGGUGUAGCGGUGAAAUGCAUAGAUAUCACGAAGAACUCCGAUUGCGAAGGCAGCAUACCGGCGCCCAACUGACGCUGAGGCACGAAAGCGUGGGUAUCGAACAGGAUUAGAUACCCGAGUAGUC
rnacentral:rRNA from 1 species